GACGAACGCUGGCGGCGUGCCUAAUACAUGCAAGUCGAACGGUAAGGGCGGGGUUUGCUUCUCUGCUUGAGUUGCGAACGGGUGAGUAACACGUAGGUAACCUGCCCUGUAGUGGGGGAUAACUAUAGGAAACGAUGGCUAAUACCGCAUAAGAGUAGCUGCUGCAUGACGUUUGUUUGAAAGGUGCGGUUGCUUCACUAGCAGUUGCGCCUGCGCUGGUUGAGCGUGUGGGUGGGGUAAACGCUUACCUAGGCGAGGAUCCAUAGUCGACCGGAGAGGGUGGGCGGCCGCCCUGGGACUGAGACCCGGCACAUAGGCCUACAGGAGGGAGCAGUAGGGAAUCGUCAGCAAUGGGCGGAAGUCUGACCGAGCAAGGCGGCAGGAGUGAGGAGGAACGUCGGGUCGGAAAGGUCGGUUGUAAGGGAGGAACCAGUUUGAGAGUGGAAAGAUCAGACUGUGACGGUAACUGAUCAGAAAGCAACGGCUAACUACGUG
rnacentral:rRNA from 1 species